rnacentral:rRNA from 1 species
UGGGGAAUAUUGGACAAUGGGCGAAAGCCUGAUCCAGCCAUGCCGCGUGUGUGAAGAAGGUCUUCGGAUUGUAAAGCACUUUAAGUUGGGAGGAAGGGCAGUAAGCGAAUACCUUGCUGUUUUGACGUUACCGACAGAAUAAGCACCGGCUAACUCUGUGCCAGCAGCCGCGGUAAUACAGAGGGUGCAAGCGUUAAUCGGAAUUACUGGGCGUAAAGCGCGCGUAGGUGGUUCGUUAAGUUGAAUGUGAAAGCCCCGGGCUCAACCUGGGAACUGCAUCCAAAACUGGCGAGCUAGAGUAGGGCAGGGGGUGGUGGAAUUUCCUGUGUAGCGGUGAAAUGCGUAGAUAUAGGAAGGAACGCCAGUGGCGAGGGCGACCACCUGGGCUCGUACUGACACUGAGGUGCGAAAGCGUAGGGAGCAAACAGG